AAUCACCUUUUUUUUGUCUGUUUUCUGUUUCUAAUAGAAUGAACCUCAGCUUUAAUCUGAGCUUUAAUGAACAUCUACACGAUCAGUGAAUUAAAUAUAGGAAAAUACCAGAUUUUUACUGA